rnacentral:rRNA from 1 species
CGCGGCCUAUCAGCUUGUUGGUGGGGUAACGGCCUACCAAGGCGAUGACGGGUAGCUGGCGUGAGAGCGUGGCCAGCCACACUGGGACUGAGACACGGCCCAGACUCCUACGGGAGGCAGCAGUGGGGAAUAUUGCGCAGUGGGCGAAAGCCUGACGCAGCGACGCCGCGUGGGGGAGGAAGGCCCCAGGGUUGUAAACCCCUGUCAGGUGGGACGAACCACGGAUCGGUCAAUACCCGGUCCGCCUGACGGUACCACCAGAGGAAGCUCCGGCUAACUCCGUGCCAGCAGCCGCGGUAAUACGGAGGGAGCGAGCGUUGUUCGGAAUCACUGGGCGUAAAGGGCGCGUAGGCGGUCGGGUAAGUCGGGUGUGAAAUUCCGGGGCUCAACCCCGUGGACUGCAUCCGAUACUGCUCGACUAGAGAGAGGUAGGGGCGAGUGGAAUUCCCGGUGUAGCGGUGGAAUGCGUAGAUAUCGGGAAGAACACCGGUGGCGAAGGCGGCUCGCUGGGCCUCACCUGACGCUGAGGAGCGAAAGCAUGGGGAGCAAACAGGAUUAGAUACCCUGGUAGUCCACGCCGUAAACGAUGGGUACUAGGUGUUGUGAGGAUUGACCCUUUCAGUGCCGACGCUAACGCAUUAAGUACCCCGCCUGGGGAGUACGG